rnacentral:rRNA from 1 species
UACGUAGGGUGCAAGCGUUGUCCGGAAUUAUUGGGCGUAAAGAGCUCGUAGGCGGUCUGUCGCGUCUGGUGUGAAAACUCAGGGCUUAACCCUGAGCUUGCAUCGGGGUACGGGCAGACUAGAGUGCGGUAGGGGAGACUGGAAUUCCUGGUGUAGCGGUGAAAUGCGCAGAUAUCAGGAGGAACACCGGUGGCGAAGGCGGAUCUCUGGGCCUUACCUGACGCUCAGGCGCGAAAGCUAGGGGAGCGAACAGG